rnacentral:rRNA from 1 species
UACGUAGGGUGCGAGCGUUAAUCGGAAUUACUGGGCGUAAAGCGUGCGCAGGCGGUUCGUUGUGUCCGUCGUGAAAGCCCCGGGCUUAACCUGGGAACUGCGAUGGAAACUAGCGAGCUAGAGUGUGGCAGAGGGGGGUGGAAUUCCGCGUGUAGCAGUGAAAUGCGUAGAGAUGCGGAGGAACACCGAUGGCGAAGGCAGCCCCCUGGGCUAACACUGACGCUCAGGCACGAAAGCGUGGGGAGCAAACAGG